UCGGUCUGGCGGAGCCCGCGGAGAGGGGCCUGGGCGCCCGAGAGGGGACAGCCUCACGGGUGUCAGGGAGGAGGGACCCCAGACCCAGGGCGGCCGCGGCCAGCGUCCCGCCUCUGCCACCCUGAUGUUCCACGGGCAGGAGCCCAGUCGGUCAAAGGCCAAGUGGGAAAAGCUCAUUAGAACCCCGCAGUGAGGAGAUUAUAACGUAAUAAGCAGCGUGGCUGACCAGGUUAUGGCGCAAGGCCCCCCGCGGGACUGGGAGUCAGAGCGGCCUUUUUGCUGUGGGGCUUGGAGCAAAGGGCCUUGGUUUCUCAGAGACUCGGUUUGCCCGUCUGUAAGACGGGGACACCAGUGCGUUUGCAGUAGCUUCUGCUACCUCAGCACUCCUAAAGAGACCAAUUAGUGACGACUUCCUGCCAUUAUCCACCGUGGCCGUGGACGCGACCGUGCUGCUAUUCGGCCAGAAUUGGAAUCUGAACGCACCAAACAGUUCAUGUACCAAGCAGUAUCUGUUGUUAUCUGCGCACCUCCCUGUACCCCCUCCCCCAGGUCAGCAGUGGCAGGCCAGGCUGGGACGGACACCGGCCCGUGUGGGUGUGAUCUUCUCGGUGGCAGAUUUGCUGGUGUGAACUCAACCACCCUCUCCUUCGGCGGGGUGGGGGAGGACCUCAGGCAGCACGGUCCCCGACCUGCAGCGGGGGGGUCUUUAGAAAGCGAGCCUUCGAUGACUAGACACAUUCUGUAAGGGAGCCAGGAAGGCUGGGCUCCUCCAAAGCAGGCGUGUGUUGUGUCCAACCCUAAAAUAAGAAGGCCCCUGGGCCCAGACUCACUGCGAAGCGCGGGCCAGCCGGCAGCUUGUCUGGAGAGGGGUCGUGAAGGCGGCAGCGCUCUGGAAAAGCUGACUUCGCGGGGACGCGUGUUCUCUCCCUGGUUCCUGACACAGUGUGAGUGAACCUGCGACACAAUGAAAUUGAAAUCCUCCAGCAAAAAUACAGGCUACUUCCCUGGGGAAGACUGUUGUCCCCCAACCUGAUUAAAGGGCCUGCGGGAGCUCCCCCUGCUCCCCCACUUCUUGGGGGGAAUUGGUUUCUCUUUGUAACGCAGAGCCCCCAACUUGUGCAAUAGAGAGGCUGGAGACGCCUCCAGUGUUCCGGUCGGAAGGAAGCCUGCAGGUGGAUAAGGCCUGCCUCCGCCUGCCCCGCCCGGGGACCAGCGCUUAGCCCUGCCCCCCACCUCACCCCUACCCCCAGCACCCCGACAGCCAAGCCCGUGCCUUCUCUUUGGUGUCCAUGGACGCUGGGAGACUGCCCAAGGCCUGAGCGUGAAGCAGAUAUUUUUGUAUCUGGAGGAAAUUUCCAAAAAUAGAGGGCCCUUGGGUUGCUGAAGUUUCAGGCAUUGAAAUGCUGCGGCAUCCUCCUGACCUCUUAGCGAAACCCCAGCAGUGAGCCCCGCCCCGUUUGGGCCGGGUGUUUGCAUCUAGGGCUGGGCCCCGUGGACAGGGUCAGACCUGUAAGGGGCCACUUGAAAUCCAGGUGUCGAGGGCGAGGCCGACCAGGAGGGGCCUCCAGAAAAGGCACCAAGCGCCCUGGCAGGCCCCACCUGUGGUUGGAGAGGCCGGUCGGCGGGGUCCCACCCGUUCCAGGCUCCUUUAAAGGCGGAGCGCCCCCGGGUCAGGAAGGCGGUCGGCAGAUCAAAGGGCAGCGCUACAACGUGAUACCUUUGGCCCUCGGGGCUCUGCUUGGGGGGGGGGGGAGGGGACACCUGUGUGGAUCCGCCCCCCCAACCCAGCUCGCCUUCCGGUGACCCCAGCCACACACACCCCCACGCUCGGCCAACCCCGGUGCGCCCCCCACCCCCACCCCGGACCCCAGGCCUGGCGCACAUCCCCGCGGAGGCUCUGCGCACAGGGACUACCGGGGAACUUCUGGCGGCACCCUGUGCUCCAGCGCCCAGUGCCUCCGAAGGCGAGGCGGUCUUCGGGUGGAUUAUUCUGGACUGGGCCCACUUCACAGGGAAGAAAGCAAUAUGUAAAUGAUAAUGAUGCCUGCCUCCCACCCUCUGAAUAUGCGGGUAUACGGGUUUUAUUCCCAACCUCGCAUGUGUUUAAUUCGGAAAGUGAACAGAUGCGGAUUAGGAACGCUUUUUCUUUUGCAAUUGUUGAUAUAAACCACCAAUUCUCCUUUCUAAGUAGUGGGAGGAGGGCGGCCCGCAGGCAGGAUUCAACGUCUUAGAGGGAGGCUGUGUGGAGGAGGCAGGGACGUCGUGCGGGCAGGGCAGGGGCUGAGAACGGACACGGCAGAGGACGGUGCACCGGGUAGGCCUUGGCCGAUCGGAAAAUCGAGGGUCCCCCCAGGUGUCGAGGGCGGCCUGCCACCCCCCGGCCGCUGGAGAGGGGAGUCACCGGGACACUGGGUUUGGGAGUAUGGCCAGACCUUUGAUCUCUCGCUAGGGCCCUUCACCAGACGCAAGCCCUGCUCCUGUCUGCCCCAAACCGUCUUCAAAGCCAGCUGGGCUGGGUCCAUACAGAUGCUGGAGACAGGAAGAACCCCAGCGGGCUCAGCUUCACACCUCAUAAACCACACAAAGCCCCCACACUUCCAAGACCUCUCCCCUCUCUCUGUCCCUCUUUCCAUACAACUGCACAGGAAACCUCCAAUAUGUAUUAACUUUUCAGCGUUCACAGAGUAUAUCAUUUUAAAG